rnacentral:rRNA from 1 species
AACGAACGCUGGCGGCAUGCCUAACACAUGCAAGUCGAACGAGACCUUCGGGUCUAGUUGCGCACGGGUGCGUAACGCGUGGGAACCUGCCCUUAGGUUCGGAAUAACUCCCCGAAAGGGGUGCUAAUACCGGAUAAUGUCUUCGGACCAAAGAUUUAUCGCCUUUGGAUGGGCCCGCGUUGGAUUAGCUAGUUGGUAGGGUAAAAGCCUACCAAGGCGACGAUCCAUAGCUGGUCUGAGAGGAUGAUCAACCACACUGGGACUGAGACACGGCCCAGACUCCUACGGGAGGCAGCAGUGGGGAAUAUUGGACAAUGGGCGAAAGCCUGAUCCAGCAAUGCCGCGUGAGUGAUGAAGGCCUUAGGGUUGUAAAGCUCUUUUACCCGGGAUGAUAAUGACAGUACCGGGAGAAUAAGCUCCGGCUAACUCCGUG